rnacentral:rRNA from 1 species
AAUUUUGCUCAAUGGGGGAAACCCUGAAGCAGCAACGCCGCGUGCGGGAUGAAGGCCUUCGGGUUGUAAACCGCUUUUACCAGGGACGAUAAUGACGGUACCUGAUGAAUAAGUCACGGCUAACUACGUGCCAGCAGCCGCGGUAAUACGUAGGUGACUAGCGUUGUCCGGAUUUACUGGGCGUAAAGAGCGCGCAGGCGGUCGUUCAAGUCGAGUGUGAAAGCCCCCGGCUCAACUGGGGAGGGUCAUUCGAUACUGAUCGACUCGAAGGCAGGAGAGGGAAGCGGAAUUCCCGGUGUAGUGGUGAAAUGCGUAGAUAUCGGGAGGAACACCAGUGGCGAAGGCGGCUUCCUGGCCUGUUCUUGACGCUGAGGCGCGAAAGCUAGGGGAGCAA